rnacentral:miRNA from 1 species
GUUUCCCUGACCACUUCACUG